rnacentral:rRNA from 1 species
UGGGGAAUCUUGCACAAUGGGCGAAAGCCUGAUGCAGCGAUUCCGCGUGGAGGAUGACGCAUUACGGUGUGUAAACUCCUUUUUUGGUGGAAGACGAAUGACGGUACACCAAGAAUAAGGGACGGCUAACUACGUGCCAGCAGCCGCGGUAAUACGUAGGUCCCAAGCGUUAUCCGGAUUUACUGGGCGUAAAGUGUCCGUAGCCGGAUAUACAAGUCUGUUUUCAAAUAUCCUGGCUCAACCAGGAAAAGGGAAUAGAUACUGUAUAUCUAGAGAAUAUUGGAGGUUAGUGGAAUUUCCGGUGGAGCGGUGAAAUGCGUUGAUAUCGGAAAGAACGCCGAAAGCGAAAGCAGCUAACUAUGAUAUUUCUGACGGUGAUGGACGAAAGCUUGAGUAGCAAACG